AUGUGUUCCAUUCCUUCCAUUGGGGCCAUAAACACCGUGCGUUCUCCUUCUAGCAAAAAAAACGCAUCACCACUCUCGCUCACGUCAUUGCCUUUCUCCAGUAUUUAUUUUCAUCGAUGACAUAUUAGAUCCACAACAAAUCGCAUAGCACUAGGUCAUGGCGAGAGGCCAUGGACUCUUCCUCCCAGCGCCUCUCUCUACUGAAGGUGACGAAGAGACCACAUCAAGUUAGAUCCAGCGGCAAAAAAAGUAAGAUACGCAUGCAGGUGAUGACAGUCAUCAUCUAAUUAAAUAAUUGGUUGCCACCACACGCACGGCCAAGGAUGGAGGACAAGGUAAUGAUAUCACAAUUAAGAAAAUGCUCUGCUGAUGGAUUAAACAAGUGCAGAAACUUUUGAUCUGAGGUAGCCUAAUAUUUUUUUAAUCUAAUUACAACGUAUUUUGAGCAUACUUUUCUGCAUGUAGUGUUCAUCCAAUCAGUCCGUCUAUGUGAUGUAUCAUUACUGCGUACGAAGAUUAGUUCGAGGAAACAAGUUUUCUAUUUUUUAUCAUAGAUCAGUCAAGCUAUGUGAUUUAUCAUUGUUGGGGCAUGCAAAUUCGUUCAAAGAAAAGAAAAUCGUAUUUUUAUCACAGAUUUCAACUCUCUUUGUUUGUCUCGGUUUUUCAUAUUUCAUACCUUAUCAUGAAACAUAUUCUUCUACCACAAAUCUCAAUUGAUCCUCUCACAUGUUACCUCAUCUCUGACAUGUAGGGUACAACAUCAAAUUCUAUUGAUAAGAUCACCGUCUGCCUUGAUCCUACAGACCUCUAAAUCCAUAAUUAUUCAGUACAUCCCAUGAAGUUGUCCAUCGAGAAACCACUGAUGCCCAAUGUACGAGUAAAGAAAAAGUUAUCUUUUAAUCGAGUUUGUUUUUGUGAUGGCUUAUAAUUGGAAUGUGCUUGAGUGCUUCUGACACUUUAUAAUAUAGGUGCAAUUUGCUUCUCACGUUCUAUGUUGUACCUGAGUUGAUGGGUUGUAUUAGAAUUCCAACUGAUUUGUCUUCCUUUUUGAGGUUCCAAGCAUAAUUUGCAAUUGAUUUUAUUCUCUCCAGGGAUUCUAAUCUUAAUCAAGUGUAUUUUCCGUAUGUUCCCAAAGCUAGCAUCGUUGUUGGGCAUAGGUUAUUAUCUCCAGGACAGAUGCUCAUGUUCCAUGCAAUAGACCUUGGAUGUACACAGAAUUUCUGUAAAUUACACACAAAAGCCACCAGAUUACAAAAGUUAUUUGAAUUAACCUUCUCUGAAUUCUUGAGACUGAAUUCGAACAGAACUAUGGCCGCGCCACCAGGCAAAAUAGGCCCAUGAUGGUUGUAUAUCUCACCAGGUCACCGUCUUGGCGAGCGUUAAUUACAUUGCCUAUUGGAUUACAGGUUAGAGUGGCCUAUCUUCUCUCGGAUAGUUUUUCUCAUUGUAGGGUACUAAAUUUUGACUUCCUAAUAAGUAACAAUUGGACGUGACAUUCGACCAUGCUCUAUAACUUCUGUAAGUUAAUAUAGGUUAAAAUAUGAUGAAUGUAUGCUUGGAUUAGAGAGUGGACCGAUAUUUUAAACAGAUUUUGUUUCCUAUUUUGCAGCAUAAUCAGAUUAUUUGCCGUGUAAUCCAAACUUAUGUAAACGUAUGCAUAGAACAACAUGGCAGUCAAAUACAAUACACCCAGGCUACCAAUUAUAAAGUUCAAUCUUACAUACAAGCAACACAACUAAACAAUUACGUAAUAAUAAUCUACAUUCAAGAAAAAUAUGCAGUUAUUUGUACACUCUUUGUUUUUUAGACAUGAGCAUGAUAAAGUUUUGUUUUAAUGCCAUGUAACUU
rnacentral:lncRNA from 1 species